rnacentral:rRNA from 1 species
CACCAGGUUGAUUCUGCCUGACGUAGACGCUAGUCUCUGAGAUUNAGCCAUGCAUGUCUAUGUAACAAGGACGAACAGCUCAGUAAAACUGCGAUGAUUUAGUCUGUCCGAAAAGAUAACCACGUGAAAAUGUGGCUAAGAGAGGACAGAAUAAGACGUAGGACUAUCAGUUUGUUGGUAGUGUAAUGGACUACCAAGACGAUGACGGUUGACGGGGAAUCAGGGUUCUAUACCGGAGAGGGAGCCUGAGAGAUUGCUCCCACGUCCAAGGACGGCAGCAGGCGCGAAAAUUGCCCACUGUUUGUAGGAGGCAGUUAUGAGACGUGAUGAUGAAUGCUUGGCAAAGAGAAGCAGGAGAAUUGGAGGGCAAGUUUGGUGCCAGCAGCCGCGGUAAUACCGACUCCAAGAGUGUGUAUGAGAGAUGCUGCAGUUAAAAAGUCCGUAGUCGUAGGAACAGAAACAGAGGCGGAGCCUCUUGCAUAUGUUGUGGAGAAGCCAAUGGGGAGCACAGUAUACCAGGGCGAGAGAUGAAAUGUCAAGACCCCUGGUGGACUCGGCGAGGCGAAAGCGGUGCUCUUGUGGGUGUUCGGUGAUCAAGGACGAAGGCUGGAGGAUCGAAAGUGAUUAGAUACCGCUGUAGUUCCAGCAGUAAAAGAUGCCGACAUGCCUGGUGGCAACACCGGGCAGGGAGAAAUCUUAGAGUUCGGGCUCUGGGGAUAGUAUGCUCGCAAGAGUGAAAAUUAAAGAAAUUGACGGAGCUACACCACAAGGAGUGGAUUGUGCGGCUUAAUUUGACUCAACGCGAGGAAACUUACCAGGGGCAAGUGCUGUGGAGAUACGAGCAGCACGCAAGUGGUGCAUGGUCGUUGGAAAUUGAUGGGAUGACUUUGGCCUUAAAUGGUUGAAUGAGUGAGAUCUUUGGACAUGUUCUGCACAGAACAGGAAGGAAGAGGCUAUAACAGAUCAGAGAUGCCCUUAGAUGCCCUGGGCUGCACGCGCAAUACAAUAGCACGCACAUGCACAGACAGGCACGUGCUCCGAUGGGACUAUGUGUUGUAAGACAGAUACGAAAGAGGAAUUCCUAGUAAGUGUCCAUCAUCAAUGGACAUUGAAUCAGUCCCUGUAGCUUGUACACACCGUCCGUCACUAUCUCAGAUGUUUUUCAGGAUGAAGAGUCUAGGCUCUGAAUAACGGAAAGUAGAUAAGAUGUAAGUCGUAGCAAGGUUGCGGUCGGUGAACCAUUAGCAGGAUCAUAA